rnacentral:rRNA from 1 species
GAUGAACGCUAGCGAUAGGCUUAACACAUGCAAGUCGAGGGACCGGCGAAUGGGUGAGUAACACGUAUGCAACUUACCUCUUAGUGGUGAAUAACUCGAUGAAAGUCGGACUAAUACCCCAUACUAAGAGAUAGGCCUGCGUUCCAUUAGCUAGUUGGUAAGGUAACGGCUUACCAAGGAAACGAUGGAUAGGGGGACUGAGAGGUUGACCCCCCACAUUGAUACGGAGUGACGGGUCAAACUCCUACGGGAGGCAGGAGUGAGGAAGAUUGGUCAAUGGGCGAGAGCCUGAACCAGCCAAGGCGCGUGAAGGAAGACUGCCCAAGGGUGGUAAACUUCUUUUGUAUGUGAUUAGUUACCAGACGAAUAAGCACCGGCUAACUCCGUGCCAGCCGCCGCGGUAAUAC